rnacentral:rRNA from 1 species
UAGAGAUGUGUGAUGACGCAUAUCAAUAAGCGGAGGAAAAGAAACUAACAAGGAUUCCCUUAGUAACGGCGAGUGAAGCGGGAAGAGCUCAAAUUUGAAAUCUUCAAGGUUCUACCUUGACGAAUUGUAGUUUAUAGAAGUGUUUUCUGUUAGUAGAGUGGCAAAAGUUCUUUGGAAUAGGACAUCAUAGAGGGUGAGAAUCCCGUAUUUGGUCAUUCUUUCUAGCUUUGUGAUACACUUUCAACGAGUCGGAUUGUUUGGGAAUGCAGUCCAAAAUGGGUGGUAAAUUUCAUCUAAAGCUAAAUAUUGGCGAGAGACCGAUAGCGAACAAGUACCGUGAGGGAAAGAUGAAAAGAACUUUGAAAAGAGAGUUAAACAGUACGUGAAAUUGUCAAAAGGGAAGCGUUUGACACCAGUGUUGUUUUUCCGAAAAUCAAUUACGAAUGUUUUAUUUUUGAGAAGUUAUGACUUCAUCGGCUUGCUUCUUUCUUUAUGAAACUUUCUUAAUGCACUUUUCGGUUAACAAGUCAACAUCAAUUUCUUUUGUUGUAAAAGGGUAUGAGGAAGGUGGCUUUCUUUUCGGAGAAAGUGUUUAUAGCCUUGUACCCCUGCAAUCGGAGAGAUUGAGGUCUGCAGCGUAGAUCCUUCGGGGUUAGAUACAUUUGUGCUAAGCUAUAGCCUUGUAUAGACAACUUGUUGACUAUGCUCAGUCAUGUAGCUUACUCGCUUAUGCUAUUUUACCUACGCUUAGGAUGUUGACGAUCAGCUGAGCGCG